rnacentral:sRNA from 1 species
CACAAACAACAACAUUACCAAGACUCGCAUAGAACUAACUGUACCAACCUUUAAAACUAGCUGUAUGCUUGCAAUAGUAUCCUAAAAGGUCGCAGAUAGCAAGGGUUCUGGUUUUCAUUUAGAAAGCAACAUACAUAAAGACUAAUACCAUUUAUGAGGGAAAAAAACCACUUACGAAGUAGGUUCAGCUUACACUCCAUUUGAAGGUACCGAGAGAGGUGUAACAAUCUGACAAGAGGGGGUCUGAGAAAAUGGCUCCAUGAGUAAAGGAUUUCCACUACAAACAUGAAAACCUGCCUUCAAUUCCCAGAAUGCACUUUUUUAAAAGCCAGAAUUAUGUUGGACAUGGGUAAUCUUAGAUCUGGUGAGGUAGCAGAUCUCUAGGGCUCACUGGCUAGCCAGUCUAGCUUACUCAGCAAGUUCCAGUCAGUGAGAAACUCAGCCUAAAAAAAGUAGACACUGCCUGAAGAAAAACACCCAAGGCUCUCUUCUAGCCUCACUUCCACACCUACCCACUCCCAACCCGAGACACACACAUACACCCCAAAUGCAUCCCAAGAAAGUGUGAAAGACAUUUUGUCAUGUCACACAUGUGGAACUCUCUUCUCCAGGAAUGGUAUGACAUCACCAUCAGAGCAGUUGUGAUCACCAACAGGAGAAACUCCCAAGAUUGGGUAAACUAAUAUUCCUUUGUGUAAUGAAGAGAGCUCACAAACCCACUUAUACCCUGGAGGAAUUAACUAUUAGUUUGGGAAGUGGGAAGAGGGAUGACACACGUGACUAUUUCUUGUUGGUAUUGCACCUGUAAGUUACCCAUGAUCCUAUAGGUUACCUGUAGAUAAUUAAAUGCACUAAUUCACCAAACAAGACUUGGGUGAAUCAUUUCUUUAUGGUCUGUGGCUACUAGCCUUUCUGGCUGAAGACAUGUUUCUCAGACAUCCUCAUGUAGUAACACUGUA